rnacentral:rRNA from 2 species
CGAUGAUCGAUAGCUGGUCUGAGAGGAUGAUCAGCCACAUUGGGACUGAGACACGGCCCAAACUCCUACGGGAGGCAGCAGUGGGGAAUAUUGGACAAUGGGCGCAAGCCUGAUCCAGCCAUGCCGCGUGAGUGAUGACGGCCUUAGGGUUGUAAAGCUCUUUCGCUCGGGACGAUAAUGACGGUACCGAGAUAAGAAGCCCCGGCUAACUUCGUGCCAGCAGCCGCGGUAAUACGAAGGGGGCUAGCGUUGUUCGGAAUUACUGGGCGUAAAGCGCGUGUAGGCGGGUCUUUAAGUCAGGGGUGAAAUGCCAAGGCUCAACCUUGGAACUGCCUUUGAUACUGGAGAUCUUGAGUCCGGGAGAGGUGAGUGGAAUUGCGAGUGUAGAGGUGAAAUUCGUAGAUAUUCGCAAGAACACCAGUGGCGAAGGCGGCUCACUGGCCCGGAACUGACGCUGAGACGCGAAAGCGUGGGGAGCAAACAGGAUUAGAUACCCUGGUAGUCCACGCUGUAAACGAUGGAUGCUAGCCGUUGGGGAGCUUGCUCUUCAGUGGCGCAGCUAACGCUUUAAGCAUCCCGCCUGGGGAGUACGGUCGCAAGAUUAAAACUCAAAGGAAUUGACGG